AUUUAACACAGCUUCAAUAUCUUGAUUUGAGAAAUAAUUAUCUAGAUGGUCCCAUUCCGUUCCAGGUUAGCCAUCUUCAGAGCUUGCUCAUCUUAAACCUGUCACAGAAUGCAUUGCAAGCUCCAAAUUGGUCCCAUUUCUCUCCCAUGCCUUUCUUGCGCAUCCUCAACCUCAGUUACAAUCCUCUUGCGUCGAAAUUCCCAUAUUUUAUAUCCAAUUCUCAUAGCCUGACUCACCUUAGCCUUAAUUAUAACGAGUUUACUGGUGAUUUAGUACGUGAAUCAGUAUUUGCCAAUCUGCAUAAUCUUGAAGUCCUCAGUCUUGUUGGCAAUUCUUUUGAGGGGUCAUUUCCGCCAGAUAUAUUCAAGCUUUCCAAAUUAAAACGUCUUGCCCUGUCAAGUAACAAAUUUUCAGGUUCAAUUCCCAAUGACUUAAGGUUGCUUCAUGAUCUUGAAUCCCUGUAUUUAGGCAACAAUUCCUUUGAAGGACCGCUUCCACCAAAUAUAUUCAAGCUUUCAAAAUUAAAAAAUCUUGUUAUUUGGAGUAAUAAGUUUUCAGGUUCUGUUUCCAAUGAUAUAGGUUUGCUUUCUGAGCUUGAAACCCUCGAUCUUAACUCUAAUUUUUUUGAGGGGCCGCUUCCGCCAAAUGUAUUCAAGCUCUCCAAACUAAGGUUUCUUCACCUCUGGGGUAAUAACUUUUCAGGUUCUAUUUCCAAUAAUAUAGGUUUGCUUUCUGAGCUUGAAACCCUCGAUCUUAACUCUAAUUUUUUUGAGGGGCCGCUUCCGCCAAAUGUAUUCAAGCUCUCCAAACUAAAGUUUUUUGCCCUUCGUGAGAAUAACUUUUCAGGUUUUAUUUCUAAGGAUAUAGGUUUGCUUUCCCAACUUGAAAGCCUCUAUCUUGGCUCUAAUUUUUUUGAGGGGCCGCUUCCCCCACAUAUAUUUAGGCUCUCCAAAUUAAGAGAUCUGGACCUCUCAGACAAUAGAAAUUUAUUUGAAGGAAGUAUUCCUAUUGGACUGGGACUCUUGACUAAUUUCAGCUUCUUAGAUCUAAAUUCCAAUAAUCUCGGUGGCUAUAUUCCAUCUGACAUUGGAAACCUGAAGCUACUAGUAUAUCUUGAUCUCAGUUCUAAUCAAUUGACUGGACAGCUUUCAAAGAUCAUUUCUAAUCUCACAAAUCUUAUAAGUCUUGAUGUAAGUUAUAAUAGUUUUAGUGGAAAUAUUCAGAGUGACUUGUGGAACUUCCCUAAGGAAUAUAACAAUCAUCCAACUUUGGAAUACAUCGCUUUUAAGUGGGAACCAUUUUACAGGUAUAUUUUCUCUAUAUAUCUUUUCCUUUUCUCAUAUGUAACUAAGCUAGUAAUCUGAUUAUUGCUGUUUUACCAAAUUUUAACAAUCUUGACAGGUGAGCUUCCAACAACAAUUUGCAAUGUCACUUCCCUUUCAAUUCUUGAUUUGUCAAAUAAUGAAUUAAGUGGUGAACUUCCAAACUGUUUCGGGAAUCUUGCUGAUGGAUUGCUUUACAUUAAUCUUGCUAAUAAUCAGUUUCGAGGAACAAUACCAACUACUUUCUCCAGGAGUUGUCAGCUGACAUGCAUAUCUAAACAUGGAUAAUAAUGAGUUUGAAGGAUUGAUGCCCCCAUCUUUGGCGAACUGUAAGCACUUGAAAAUUCUUGAUAUAGGCAAUAAUAAAAUAGGUGGUACAUUUCCGUCAUGGCUUUAUGCACUUGGAGAGCUAGAAGUUCUUGUCUUGCGAUCAAAUAAACUCUAUGGUACAAUAAGUGGAAGGAGCACAGAAGAUCCCUUCCCCAAGUUGCGGAUUAUGGAUUUGUCCAACAAUCAAUUCACAGGCCAUUUGCCAAUUCAAUACUUUAAGAAUAUGAAAUCAACUGAUAAUUUGUAUCGUUUUCAGAAUGUGACAGCAGUUUUUACUAUCCAUUAUGAAGCAGCAGUCUCAUUAACUGUGAAGGGAACAGAGUAUGAAGUGACAAAUAACCUUCAUAUUUACACAGCUAUUGAUCUGUCGUGCAACAAAUUUCAGGGUGAAAUUCCAAAAGUUAUUGGAGAGCUUAGAUGGCUUGCAUUGCUCAACUUAUCGCAUAAUAGUCUGACAGGACAUAUCCCGUCAUUGCUGAGAAAUAUGAAAGAACUCCAAUCUUUAGAUUUGUCCUCAAAUCAACUGACAGGGGCUAUUCCACCUCAGUUAACUGCACUGACAUUUCUAGAAGUCUUAAACCUCUCGGGAAACCAUCUUAGUGGAGAGAUUCCUCAGAAAGGACAAUUCAGCACAUUCAACAAUGAUUCUUAUCUAGGAAACUCCGCAUUAUGUGGAUCACCAUUGAUGAAGAAAUGUGCAAACACAGCAUCACCUCCACAAGAAGUCGGAAAUGGUGAUGAAGAUGAUGCUGGAGAUGAAUUGACAUGGGAAGCAAUCGUGAUGGGAUAUGGAUGUGGACUGAUAUGUGGAUUGUCAUCUGCAUACAUUGUUCUCAAACUAGGAAAGCCUUGGUGGUUUGUGAGAUAUAUCGAAGUGCUGCAACUGAAGUUGAUGAAAAGAUAUGCAUGAAGAAUGGUACUGGCCAAUCAAGACCAACUUGAAAGUUGUUGGACAUUUCUGAACCAGUAGUGUACUAUUCUCUUUGUGGCUGCAUAAGUUUUUGGUAUUGGUGUAAUAUUUUGUUUGGUCUUGAAUCAUAAUGAUUUUUCUUUUUUCAGGGGUAUUAAUAUAAACCUUGGUAUUGUGUAAUAUUCUGUUUGAUCAAUGUUUAUAUCAGUAAUUAUAUGCUCCUCACUGCAUCAUGCAGCUCUCAUAAUAUUAUUAUUAUUAUUAUUAUUAUUAUUAUUAUUAUUAUUAUUAUUAUUAUUAUUAUUAUUAUUAUUAUUAUUAUUAUUAAUUGAUUACACACUCACACGUGGGGAGUCGACCUCCCGACCUCCAGCAAAGGGGUAAAAGAGCUCUCAUAUUAUCUUCAUAUGUGUAUUAUUUGGAUAUCAAAGUUGCAGGGACAUAUGGAUAUGUGUUAACAGGGACUGCUCGGUCUUGGACGGACUCUUUCCAAGUCCUCUGGGGUCCUAUCGAUUCAAAUUAGUCUAUUAUCUGCAUACUAGCUAAUUUGUCCAACUCGGGCUUCAAUAGUAAAGAUAAUAGGUGCGAGUUGAGUUUCUCAAAGUAUGAGUACAAUAUCGUUUUUUAAUGAUAGUUAGGGGGUGUGAUAUGCAAUUACCUCAAAAAUAUAUGAUCAUUAGUAUAUUAUAUUAGUAUCCACACACUUAUAUCUCAAAAUCUAUCCUCCAAAAUUAUCAUCUCUAUAGGCUAGCCACAUAAAAUAAAAAUUUAAAGAUAUUAGAUAUUUAGUUAUUUUCAUCAUAUAAUUUUUCCAUGCAAAAUAACAAAAUAUCUUUAUCAACUUAUUAUUUAUGAGUUAAAUAUUCAAGUUAUAUAAUUCGGGCAUGCUGGGUAUAAAUAGAAGUGUAACGCCUAAUUUCCGGGGUCUGGGAGUAGUUGGCGGGGUAUGAGAGAGCAGGCUAUUCAGAAGUCUUGGUCAUGAAAACUUCCAAGCUAACUUCGACAACGGAAUCUUCUGAGGCUACUAUUCUAAAGCACGCAUAAUCAUUGUAUUCAUAUUCCUCUCACACUGACAAAAAGUCUAUUUAAGCAAAUGAAAUACAAACAACUGAGUGGAAUGCUGACCGAAAAUCUUUUUGGCUGAGCUUAUGAGUUAUUAGUACAUGAUUAAUAUGAUAAGCUAAGCUGAGAGCAUAAGAUAUCGUUUGUAUAAUUUUGUGUUUAUUAAUGACUUAUAAAUUAUUAAAAAUAUAAUAAGAAAAAUAAAAAUGUUUUAUAACUAAUUUAUGUUUCAUGAGUAAUUUUUAUUAGAAAAAAGUUUUAAAAAAUUAUUUCACUGGAAAAAAACCUCCAACUAACUUUUGGCUCUAAAGUCAGUUUGUGACUUAUUUCUGACUUUAAAUCGGCUUCUCACUUUUACACAAACAAAAAUUUUUCAGCUUAAAGUUAAAAACAACUUUAAGCUCCGGUUUUAAACCUCGACAAACAUGCUCUGAGUUUGGUUUCACUUCAUUUACAAACCUCAACAAUUUCACCAUCAAACACAAUGACUUCUCCAAUCUCCGGUCAAGUACCACCAGCCAUUGAGAAUUUGGCACAACUUCAAUUCCAUACCAGGUUAGUCAUCUUCGGAGAUUACACGUCUUAGACCUGUCAAAUACAAAUUUCAAUCUCCAAACUGGUCCGACUUAUCUUCUAUGCUUUUUGUUGAGUCCGGCUCAUCUAAAGCCUUAAGAUGUUAGAAGAAGCCCCCAAUGAAUCUUAUAUAUGCUAUAUUUUAACAAUUCUGAGCACACUCAACCUUGGUAUUAAUAAUAUUGUGUCGAAAAUUCCAGAAUUUAUAUCUAAUUCUCAUAGCCUAACUUUCCUUGACCUUUCCAUAUAACAAAUUUACAGUUAAUCCUGUGCUUGAAUCAGUAUUUGCAACCAAAAUUAUGCAAUUAUAGUGCAGGUAGUCUUCCAGUUCUUCCUACUCUAUGCUAUAAUUUCAUUUGAUACCAAUAAUUUUACGCUCUACACUCCAGGAUGAGCUCGCAUAUUAUUGACAGCUAUAAUCCUUCCAACAAUUUGCGAUGCAAAGCAGGGGGGCGCCUGUAUUUUCAUAUGUCUAUAUUAUUGGAGAUUAAAGUUGUAUGGACAAUUGUGUUGAUAAUUUGCCCAAUGUUAACAGGGAUAGGUUGGCUUAAUUUGCCCAAUGUUAACAGGGAUAGGUUGGCUUAAUUUGCCCAAUGUUAACAGGGAGAUUAAAUGGCUUGCAUUGCUCAACGUAUAUCUCAUAAUAGUCUUACCGGACAUAUGUUAUGCAUUAUUAUUAUGCUUUCAUCACUAUUUUCAAACAUUUCUCAAUAUAUAUUUUCAAAGAAUUCUCAAGCACUUGAACAUUUGGACCGGUUCUUUCGAAGCCAAGAUGCCCAGGGUAUCAUGGCCAUGCACAAAAAUGAAUAAAUUAAGAGAGAUUGCUCAGGGUCUCCCCAAGCCUUUCAGGACUCAUUCCAAGUCUUCGAGGACCACUGCCUCACUCUUUCAAAGAUGUGAUAGUAGCUCGAGAGCGAUAUAAAUGAUUUUCCUGACACUAAAAAUAAAAAAAUCAGAUCAAAUUAAUCAAUAAUAAAUUAAAGAUGCAAUCCAAAUUAAUCCUAAAUUUUGAUGAUAUAUAAAAAUUAUAAUUAUAAAUUAUAUAACCAAAUCAGAAUUGAAUUAACUUACUUGGUACUAAAAUUGAUAAAAACAGUAUAAUAAUUUAAUUGAUGAAAAUUCAAAGUCUUCUAAUAAAUCCAUAAAAAAUUUGAUAAUCAAAAUAACGAAAAUUAUAAUUGAAAAAUCAAAAUCAAUAGUGUAUUGGAAUAUUGUUCACACACUUAUAUAUCAAAAUUUGUGGUCCAAAAACUAUAGCACAAUAUCCUAAAUACACCACAUUAAAUAAUAGUUCAAAAAUAUUCAAUAGAUAAUUGAUUUCAUUCAUAAUUUUGUUAUUUUAAAAACUAAUAAUUUGGUUGAUGUUAACCUAUAUUUUAAUAUAUAAUUAUAUUAUUUUCAUCUUAUUUUAUUUAACCAGAAACAAUAUUUUUAUAAUAUUUAUUACAUUAUUUAUAUUAAAAAAUAUAAUUUCAUUAAAAAAAUUGAAUAAAAUUAAGAGGAUAACUCUAUGCCUCUCCAAGUCUACAAGACUCAUUUCAAGUCUACCUCGGACCACUACCUCAACCAUUCAGAGAUGUGAAAGUAGUUUGAGAGUGACAUAAAUUAUUUUCGUGACAAUAAAAUUUAAUAUCUAAUAUAAAUUAAUUAAAUUAGAUAAUAAUAAAUCAAAACUAAUUAUGAAUUAUGAUAAUAAUUAAAUAAAUUAUAAUUAAAUUAUAUAAAUCAACUCCAAAUGAUACAAAUAACACUAAACCUUGGUUACUUUGUUGGUAAAUAAAUAUAAUAUAAUAAUCAAAUUGAUGAGAAAUGAAAAUCAUCUAAUAAAUUCACAAAAAAUAUAUGAUCAUUAGUAUAUUAUAUUAGUAUCCACACACUUAUAUUUCAAAAUCUAUCCUCCAAACUUAUCAUCUCCGUAAACUAGCCACAUAAAAUAUAAAUUUAAAGAUAUUAGAUAUUUAGUUAUUUUCAUUAUAUAAUUUUUCCACACUAAACAACAAAAUAUUUUUAUCAAAAUUAUUAUUUAUGAGUUAAAUAUUCAAGUUAUAAUUCCAGCAUGCAGCGUAUAAAUAGAAGUGUGCAGUAUGAUAUCAGAUUCAUAACCCAGUUGAUCAGAAGAAACAUGGCCUACUCUGCAAAGCCUUCUCACCUUCUUCUCUUUGUUUUCUUUCUCUCAUCACUUGAAUCCAUUCUUGCAACAACACGAGAGGGAGAAGCUCUUGUGAAGUGGAAGAAUAGCCUAGCCCCUUCUUCUUUUCUCGACUCUUGGUCACUCACCAAUCUCGAAAAUCUUUGUAACUGGACUGGCAUUACUUGUAACUCUGCAGGUUCAGUCUCUGAGAUUAACCUUUUUGAGAAACAACUUAAUGGAAUGCUGUCCGAGUUCGGUUUCACUUCAUUUCCAAAUCUCAACAAUCUCACCCUCGCAUACAACUUCUUCUCGGGUCCAAUACCACCAGCCAUUGAGAAUUUAACACAGCUUCAAUAUCUUGAUUUAAGCAUGAAUAGUCUUAAUGGUCCCAUUCCGUUCCAGGUUAGCCAUCUUCAGAGUUUGCUCAUAUUAAACCUGUCACAGAAUGCAUUGCAAGCUCCAAAUUGGUCCCAUUUCUCUCCCAUGCCUGUUUUGCGCUUCCUCAAGCUCAGUAGAAAUCCUCUUGUGUCGAAAUUCCCAAAUUUUAUAUCCAAUUCUCAUAGCCUGACUUAUCUCAACCUUUCACAUAACAAGUUUAGUGGUGAUCUUGUACGUGAAUCAGUAUUUACCAAUCUGCAUCAUCUUGAAGUCCUCAGUCUUGUUGGCAACUCUUUUGAGGGGUCAUUUCCGCCAGAUAUAUUCAAGCUUUCCAAAUUAACACGUCUUGCCCUGUCAAGUAACAAAUUUUCAGGUUCAGUUCCCAACGACAUAAGGUUGCUUUGUGGUCUUGAAUACCUAUAUUUAGCUGACAAUUCCUUUGAAGGACCGCUUCCACCAGAUAUAUUCAAGCUUUCAAGAUUAAAACAUCUUGUUCUUUGGAGUAAUAAGUUUUCAGGUUCUGUUUCCAAUGAUAUAGGUUUGCUUUCUGAGCUUGAAGCCCUCAAUCUUGACUCUAAUUUUUUUGAGGGGCCGCUUCCCCUAAAUUUAUUCAAGCUCUCCAAACUAAAAUUUCUCACCCUGACAAGUAACAAAUUUUUAGGUUCAAUUCCCAAUGACAUAAGGUUACUUUGUGAUCUUGAAUACCUAUAUUUAGGCAACAAUUCCUUUGAAGGACCGCUUCCACCAAAUAUAUUCAAACUUUCAAAAUUAAAAGAUCUUGUUCUUUGGGGUAAUAAGUUUUCGGGUUCUGUUUCCAAUGAUAUAGGUUUGCUUUAUGAGCUUGAAACCCUCGAUCUUAACUCUAAUUUUUUUGAGGGGCCGCUUCCGCCAAAUUUAUUCAAGCUCUCCAAACUAAAGAUUCUUUCCCUUUAUAAGAAUAACUUUUCAGGUUUUAUUUCUAAGGAUAUAGGUUUGCUUUUCGAACUUGAAAGCCUCUAUCUUGGCUCUAAUUUUUUUGAGGGGCUGCUUCCCCCACAUGUAUUUAGGCUCUCCAAAUUAAGAGAUCUGGGUCUCUCAGACAAUAGAAAUUUAUUUGAAGGAAGUAUUCCUAUUGGACUGGGACUCUUGACUAACCUCAGGUACUUAGAUCUACAUUCCAAUAAUCUCGGUGGCUAUAUUCCAUCUGACAUUGGAAACCUGAAGCUACUAGUACUUCUUGAUCUCAAUUCUAACCAAUUGACUGGACCGCUUUUAAAGAUCGUUUCUAAUCUCACAAAUCUUAUGUUUCUUGAUGUAAGUGAUAAUAGUCUUAGUGGAAAUAUUCAGAGAGACUUGUGGAACUAUAACGAUCAUCCAACUUUGGAAUUCAUCAAUUUAAGUGGGAACCAUUUUACGGGUAUAGUUUUUCUCUAUAGAUCUUUCCUUUUGUCAUAUGUAACUAAGCUAGUAAUCUGAUUAAUUGCAGUUUUACCAAAGUUUCAACAAUCUUGACAGGUGAGCUUCCAACAACAAUUUGCAAUGUCACUUCCCUUUCGGUUCUUGAUUUGUCAAAUAAUGCAUUAAGUGGUGCACUUCCAAACUGUUUCGGGAAUCUUGCUGAUGGAUUGCUUUACAUUAAUCUUGCUAAUAAUCAGUUUCGAGGAACAAUACCAACUACUUUCUCCAGGAGUUGUCAGCUGACAUAUCUGAACAUGGAUGAUAAUCAGUUUGAAGGAUUGUUACCCCCAUCUUUAGCGAACUGUAAGCACUUGAGAAUCCUUGAUAUGGGCAACAAUAAAAUAGGUGAUACAUUUCCGUCAUGGCUUUAUGUACUUGGAGCGCUAGAAGUCCUUGUCUUGCGAUCAAAUAAACUCUAUGGUACAAUAAGGGCAAGGAGCAUAGAAGAUCCCUUCCCCAAGUUGCGGAUUGUGGAUCUGUCCAACAAUCAAUUCAUGGGCCAUUUGCCAAUUCAAUACUUUAAGAAUAUGAAAUCAAAUGAUAAUUUGUAUCGUUAUCUGAAUUCCACAGGAGAAAUAGAUAUCUCUUAUGAAGCAGCAGUCUCAUUAACUGUGAAGGGAACAGAGUAUGAAGUAGCAAAUAACCUUCAUAUUUACACAGCCAUUGAUCUGUCGUGCAACAAAUUUCAGGGAGAAAUUCCAAAGGUUGCCGGAGAGCUUAGAUGGCUUGCAUUGCUCAAUUUAUCUCAUAAUAGUCUAACAGGACCUAUCCCAUCAUUGCUGAGAAAUAUGAAAGAACUCCAAUCUUUAGAUUUGUCCUCAAAUCAACUGACAGGGGCUAUUCCACCUCAGUUAACUGCAUUGACAUUUCUAGAGGUCUUAAAUCUCUCGAACAACGAUCUCAGUGGAGAGAUUCCUCAGAAAGGACAGUUCAGCACAUUCAACAAUGAUUCUUAUCUAGGAAACUCCGCGUUAUGUGGAUCACCAUUGACGAAGAAAUGCGCAAACACAGCAUCACCUCCACAAGAAGUCAGAAAUGGUGAUGAAGAUGAUGCUGGUGAUGAAUGGACAUGGGAAGCAAUCGUGAUGGGAUAUGGAUGUGGACUGAUAUGUGGAUUGUCAUCUGCGUACAUUGUUCUCAAACUAGGAAGGCCUUGGUGGUUUGUGAGAUAUGUCGAAGUAUUGCAACUGAAGUUGAUGAAAAGAUAUGCUUGAAGAAUGGUAUUUGGUCUUGUACUAGCUGCAUAAGUAUUUGGCAUUGUGUAGUAUUCUGUUUGGUCUUGAAUUAUAAUGAUUUUUCUUGCUUCAGGGGUAUUAAUAUAAACCUUGCUAUCUUGCUCAGUGUUAAUGCAAAUUAAGAUGAAUGAAUAAACAAAAAAUAUGCAUCAAAUUAAGAAUUCAGAAAUGGUGAUACUCAUGCAGUGUCACCAACUCAAGAAUUCAGAAAUGGUGAUACUCAUGAAGAUGACGAUGCUGAUGAUGAACUUUGAUGUGGGACUUGGGUUGACCACUUGUUGGGCCGCACAACACCUGUUAAGCAUUAGUAUGACGUUGUCCGCUCUGGAUCGUGACCAAGCCCGCACGGAUUUGUUUUCGAGCUCCUCUCAAAAGGUCUAAAACUAAUGGAGUUGUUUGGCUGCUUAUAUUCAAGAUAAAUCUUUUUGAUGUGGGAUUUGGGUUGACACCCACACAACAAGACGUGAGGAAAUAUUGUUGUCUUGAGAUGACAUAUGUUCUGAAUUAUUAUUAUGCUUUCAACAAUAUUUUCAAACAUUUUUCAAUAUGUAUUUUUAAAGAAUUCUCAAGCACUCGUGACCCCUAUAAUUUUUUCUCAGGCAACGCCUAUAGUUUCAAAGAAUUCCCAGGCACUUAAACAUUUGGACCGGUUCUUUGGAAGCCAAGAUGCCCAGGUUAUCAUGGCCAUGCACAAAAUGCAGUACCAAAGAAAAAAAAUAAUAAAUUAAGAGAGAUUGCUCUGGGUCACCCCAAGCCUUCGAGGACUCAUUCCAAGCCUCGCCCUUUCAAAGAAGUGAUAGUAGCCGGAAAGUGAUAUAAAUUAUUCUCCGGACACUAAAACUAAAUAAUCAGAUCAAAUUAAUCAAUAAUAAAUUAAAGAUAUGAAAUCAAAAUUAAUCCUAAAUUUUGAUAAUAUACAAAAAUUAUAAUUAUAAAUUUUAUUAUCAAAUCAAGAUUAAAUUAACUUACAUGGCCGUUAAAAUUGAUAAACGCAAUAUAAUAGGGUUAAAAAUGGGGCGGGUUCGGGACGGGUACUUCAUUUCCCAGCCUCGUCCCAUAUAUAUUUUUCCUGCCCCGUCUCCGCCCCAUUCUCCACGAAGAUUUAUUUUUAAUCCCCAUUGCCGCCCGCCCCACCGGGGAUUGAAUAUAAUUUCGCCCCGCCCCGCUGCUAUAAUAUUACACUUUAAUUAAUUACCUUAAAAUUUAAUAAUCAGAAUUUAAUAAAAAUAUACGAGACAUGUAUAUUAAAAGCAAAAAACUAAAUAUAAUAGAAAUCAAAGAGACAUGUUAUACAUUGUAAAAUUAUAGUUUUAUGUAUUAUAUAAUAGAUAAUAUUAAAUAUAUUAUAUUAAAUAUAAUUAUUUAUUUUUAUUAAAUAUAUGCGGGGCGGGGUGGGGAAUCCCCGCGGGAAUUCAACAAAUACCAUGCUUGCCCCAUAUUUUAGCGGGGCAGAUAAUCAUUCUCCGUCACUACCCCAUUCCCCAUAGAGUAGUGCUAGAUGCACAAAAUUGGAUACAUAAUUUUACACAAAAUGACAUGGCAAUCUAGGUGGAGAGCUUUAAUUGGUAUUAUUAAUGCAUGUGCAGGGGCUCAUUCCAAUCACAAAUUGACACAUACUCAUUCUGUGAAUAUUUCUGUACUCAAUUCUGUGCAGGUAGCAUUUUUCUUCCCCAUAUUAGCGGGGCGCAUCGGCUCCAUUCGGGGCGGGUUCCCCAUUUUCCCCACCCAAUUUUUAACCCUACAAUAGUAAUCAAAUUGAUGAAAAGUCAAAGUCCUCUAAUAAAUCCAUAAAGAAUAUGAUAAUCAAAACUACAAAAAUUAUAAUUGAAAAAUCAAAAUCAUCCUAAUAAGUUCAUAGAAUAUAUAUGAUCAGUAGAGCAUUAGAAUAGUGUUCACACACUUAUAUGUCAAAAUUUGUGGUCCAAAGACUAUGACACAAUAUCCUAAAUACACCCCCAUUGAAUAGUAGUUCAAAAUAUUUAAUAUAUAAUUGUUUUCAUUCAUAAUUUUGUUAUUAUUUAAAAAAUAAUAAUUUAAUUGCUGUUAACCUUUAUUUUAAUAUAUAAUCAUAUCGUUUCCUUACAAUUUAAUUAUCUAGAAACAAUAUUUUUGUUAUAAUCAUUACAUUAAUUAUAUUAAAAAAUAUAAUUUUGUUAAAACAUUGAAUGAAAUUAAGAGUAUUAAUCUACGUCUCUCCAAGUCUACAGGACUCAUUCCAAGUCUGCGUGAGACCACUGCCACCACCUUUGAGAGAUGUGGAAGUGGAAGUAGCUUCAGAUUGACCUAAAUUAUUUCCUGACAAUAAAUUUAAUAUCCGAAAUAAAUUAAAUUAAACUAGUUUUUUGAAACAAUUAAAUUAAACUAGUUAAUAAUAAAUUAAGAAUAUAUAAAAUCAAAACUAAUCAUGAAUUAUGAUAAUAAUUAAAUAAAUUAUAAUUAAGCUAUAUAAAUCAACUCCAAAUGACACCAACAGCACCAAACCUUAGUUACUUUAAUAUUGGUAAAUAAAUAUAAUAUAAUAAUCAAUUGAUGAAAAAUCAAAUCAUCUAAUAAAUUCACAAAAAAUAUAUGAUCAUUAGUAUAUUAUAUUAGUAUCCACACACUUAUAUUUCAAAAUCUAUCCUCCAAAAUUAUCAUCUCGAUAAACUAGCCACAUAAAAUAAAAAUUUAAAGAUAUUAGAUAUUUAGUUAUUUUCAUUAUAUAAUUUUUCCACACUAAAUAACAAAAUAUUUUUAUCAAAUUAUUAUUUAUGAGUUAAAUAUUCAAGUUAUAAAUCCAGCAUGCAGCGUAUAAAUAGAAGUGUGCAGUAUGAUAUCAGAAUCAUAACCCAGUUGAUCAGGAGAAACAUGGCAUACUCUGCAAAGCCUUCUCACCUUCUUCUCUUUGUUUUCUUUCUCUCAUCACUUGAAUCCAUUCUAACAACACGAGAGGGAGAAGCUCUUGUGAAGUGGAAGAAUAGCCUAGCCCCGUCUUCUUUUCUCGACUCUUGGUCACUCACCAAUCUCGAUAAUCUUUGUAACUGGACUGGCAUUACUUGUAACUCUGCAGGUUCAGUUUCUGAGAUUAACCUCUGUGAGAAACAACUUGAUGGAAUGCUGUCCGAGUUCGGUUUCACUUCAUUUCCAAAUCUCAAGAAUCUCACCCUGGCAGACAACUUCUUCUCGGGUCCAAUACCACCAGCCAUUGAGAAUUUAACACAGCUUCAAUAUCUUGAUUUAAGCAUGAAUAGUCUUAAUGGUCCCAUUCCGUUCCAGGUUAGCCAUCUUCAGAGUUUGCUCAUAUUAAACCUGUCACAGAAUGCAUUGCAAGCUCCAAAUUGGUCCCAUUUCUCUCCCAUGCCUGUUUUGCGCUUCCUCAAGCUCAGUAGAAAUCCUCUUGUGUCGAAAUUCCCAAAUUUUAUAUCCAAUUCUCAUAGCCUGACUUAUCUCAACCUUUCACAUAACAAGUUUAGUGGUGAUCUUGUACGUGAAUCAGUAUUUAUACCAAUCUGCAUCAUCUUGAAGUCCUCAGUUUUUCACCGAAGAGUUGUG
rnacentral:lncRNA from 1 species